CCUCUUAAUGAGCUAAUACAACGCCUCACCUCAAUACCGUUGCAUUAUGUGUUGCUAAUGCAACGACCACUACCAAACCGUGACAUUAGUCAAUCUAAUACGACGACAUCUUCUUUACCGUUGCAUUAGCCCUUCAAAUAUUCAUGGGCAAUUAAAUUUGACAAGGCUAAUGCAGCGACCGUUGAAAAUACCUACAGUCAAAUUUAUUGGCCGCGCCGAAUUCACACUCUUUUCCCCUAAAUACUUCGUAUAAUUUUAAACCGCAAUUGAACGUAGAAGAGAGAGAAAAUGUAGAGGAGUAAGGAACCCUAUUUCCCCUUUCUUACCUCCCGCAACCUUGUUCCGCUGUCCCGCAACCUUCUUCUGCCGUUGAGGGACUCGCCUGUAUAAUUCGAUCUGGUCGUCGCUCCGACAACAAUUGCAAGUAAAUGUUGCUCCAAUUUCAACUGGUAUUUCAUUGAAAAGACCUUAAAAGGACAAUUCAACUGUAGAGACCUGUACUGAAUGGAAUUCUACACCUUCAUCCCCUGAUCUAAUUGGUGUUUUAUCAUCAGCGAUUAAACUUCCCUUUAGCACACUCCAUCCAUAAUCGCAGGUUGUAUUGUCCAUAAUCCAUAUUAUUUAUCAUGUUUUAGCUAGUGUACCAUUUUUAACUUGUGCCCAUUCGUGAUUUAAACUUGCAGGAGCAUGGUGAGCUAAAUGGAGAAGAAAUGUAGAUCUAGCAAAUGGAACGGUGGAGGCUCUUGUUUGUUUUGGGGGCAUUUUAUGAUUUCCAGUAAUGUUGAAUUAGGAGGCUAUGGAUUUUAGUUUUAUGUAUUUUUGUCAUUAAAAACACUAAAUAAUUAGUGAACAACUAUUUUGUAAUGCAUGUGUCCUAUGGGCACUAAUAUUGUAAUAUUACUUUUUAAGUCAAUGAAAUUCUUUUGUUAUUGGCAUCA